CCUGCAGUGGGUACGGGCAGACUAGAGUGCGGUAGGGGAGAUUGGAAUUCCNNNGUGUAGCGGUGGAAUGCGCAGAUAUCAGGAGGAACACCGAUGGCGAAGGCAGAUCUCUGGNNNNNNNACUGACGCUGAGGAGCGAAAGGGUGGGGAGCAAACAGGCUUAGAUACCCUGGUAGUCCACCCCGUAAACGUUGGGAACUAGUUGUGGGGUCCAUUCCACGGAUUCCGUGACGCAGCUAACGCAUUAAGUUCCCCGCCUGGGGAGUACGGCCGCAAGGCUAAAACUCAAAGGAAUUGACGGGGACCCGCACAAGCGGCGGAGCAUGCGGAUUAAUUCGAUGCAACGCGAAGAACCUUACCAAGGCUUGACAUAUACGAGAACGGGCCAGAAAUGGUCAACUCUUUGGACACUCGUAAACAGGUGGUGCAUGGUUGUCGUCAGCUCGUGUCGUGAGAUGUUGGGUUAAGUCCCGCAACGAGCGCAACCCUCGUUCUAUGUUGCCAGCACGUAAUGGUGGGAACUCAUGGGAUACUGCCGGGGUCAACUCGGAGGAAG
rnacentral:rRNA from 1 species